CGGGCUGUAGCGAAGCUUGGUUAUCGCGCUACACUGGGGGUGUAGAGAUCGCUGGUUCGAAUCCAGUCAGCCCGACCA
rnacentral:tRNA from 1 species